rnacentral:tRNA from 1 species
AGAAGGUUAGUCUUUAUAAGAUACAGGGUUGUCAACCUUGAGAGGUUAGCAAAUAACACCUUCUU